UACGGGGGGGGUAAGCGUUGUUCGGAAUUACUGGGCGUAAAGGGCUCGUAGGCGGCCAACUAAGUCAGACGUGAAAUCCCUCGGCUUAACCGGGGAACUGCGUCUGAUACUGGAUGGCUUGAGUUCGGGAGAGGGAUGCGGAAUUCCAGGUGUAGCGGUGAAAUGCGCAGAUAUCAGGAAGAACACCCGUGGCGAAGGCGGCUCUCUGGGACGGUACUGACGCUGAGACGCGAAAGCGUGGGGAGCGAACAGG
rnacentral:rRNA from 1 species